rnacentral:lncRNA from 1 species
GCAGGAGAUGCAGACAUUCUGUUGUGGGCCUCUCACUAUAAAAAGCAUCCACAUAUGGUAACCAGGAGAAGGGAUGCAGAGGAACUCUGGAGCACUAGCCUCCAAAAGAUUUUGCAGAAAACUCCAAGGAAGAGAAAGCUGGGAUGGCAGGACUCCACUUAUCCUCAGAAUAACAGUUUGUACUCUCUCCUCAUCUUCACAAAAGGAAUACAAUAACGAUCAAAAGGAAAACAGCCCAACCAAUCCACCAAUGCAAGAGAGCAGUGAGGAAAGAAAACAGCUAUCAGUAAAAUGCUCCUGGGCACUGCUAUGUUCAAAUCAGAUAUGGAUAAAACAUCCACAAAAACACAG